rfam:Loxodonta africana unplaced genomic scaffold scaffold_135, whole genome shotgun sequence.
GGUAGCGUGGCCGAGCGGUCCAAGGCGCUGGGUUAAGGUUCCAGUCUCUGCGGGGGCGUGGGUUCCAAUCCCACCGCUGCCA